rnacentral:rRNA from 1 species
AUACGGAGGAUGCGAGCGUUAUCCGGAUUUAUUGGGUUUAAAGGGAGCGUAGGCGGGAGCUUAAGUCAGCGGUUAAAUGGUGCGGCUCAACCGUGCCCUGCCGUUGAAACUGGGUUUCUUGAGAGUGCAAGAGGCGGAUGGAAUUCAUGGUGUAGCGGUGAAAUGCUUAGAUAUCAUGAAGAACUCCGAUCGCGAAGGCAGUCCGCUGGGGCACGUCUGACGCUGAUGCUCGAAGGUGCGGGAAUCAAACAGGAUUAGAUACCCUGGUAGUCCGCACGGUAAACGAUGAUUACCCGCUGUCGGCGGUAGACAGUCGGCGGCCAAGCGAAAGCGGUAAGUAAUCCACCUGGGGAGUACGCCGGCAACGGUGAAACUUAAAGGAAUUGACGGGG